AUUGAACGCUGGCGGCAGGCCUAACACAUGCAAGUCGAACGAGUGGCGGACGGGUGAGUAAUGUCUGGGAAACUGCCUGAUGGAGGGGGGUAACUACUGGAAACGGUAGCUAAUACCGCAUACCAUCGGAUGUGCCCAGAUGGGAUUAGCUUGUAGGUGGGGUAACGUCUCACCUAGGCGACGAUCCCUAGCUGGUCUGAGAGGAUGACCCGCACCACGGGAACUGAGAGACGGUCCAGACUCCUACGGGAGGAAGAAGUGGGGAAUAGUGCACAAUGGGCGCAAGCCUGAUGCAGCCAUGCCGGGUGUGUGAAGAAGGCCUUCGGGUUGUAAAGUACUUUCAGCGGGGAGGCGUUACCCGCAGAAGAAGCACCGGCUAACUCCGUGCCAGCAGCCGCGGUAAGAC
rnacentral:rRNA from 1 species